UACAGAGGGUGCAAGCGUUAAUCGGAAUUACUGGGCGUAAAGCGUGCGUAGACGGUUACAUAAGUCGGGUGUGAAAGCCCCGGGCUCAACCUGGGAAUUGCAUUCGAGACUGCGUAGCUAGGGUGCGGAAGAGGGAAGCGGAAUUUCCGGUGUAGCGGUGAAAUGCGUAGAUAUCGGAAGGAACACCAGUGGCGAAAGCGGCUUCCUGGUCCAGCACCGACGUUCAGGCACGAAAGCGUGGGGAGCGAACAGGAUUGAGAA
rnacentral:rRNA from 1 species